CCUACGGGGGGCAGCAGUGGGGAAUAUUGCACAAUGGGCGCAAGCCUGAUGCAGCCAUGCCGCGUGUGUGAAGAAGGCCUUCGGGUUGUAAAGCACUUUCAGCGGGGAGGAAGGCGGUGAGGUUAAUAACCUCAUCGAUUGACGUUACCCGCAGAAGAAGCACCGGCUAACUCCGUGCCAGCAGCCGCGGUAAUACGGAGGGUGCAAGCGUUAAUCGGAAUUACUGGGCGUAAAGCGCACGCAGGCGGUCUGUCAAGUCGGAUGUGAAAUCCCCGGGCUCAACCUGGGAACUGCAUUCGAAACUGGCAGGCUAGAGUCUUGUAGAGGGGGGUAGAAUUCCAGGUGUAGCGGUGAAAUGCGUAGAGAUCUGGAGGAAUACCGGUGGCGAAGGCGGCCCCCUGGACAAAGACUGACGCUCAGGCGCGAAAGCGUGGGGAGCAAACAGGAUUAGAUACCCUAGUAGUC
rnacentral:rRNA from 1 species